rnacentral:rRNA from 1 species
CCUACGGGUGGCAGCAGUGAGGAAUAUUGGUCAAUGGACGAGAGUCUGAACCAGCCAAGUAGCGUGAAGGAUGACUGCCCUAUGGGUUGUAAACUUCUUUUAUAUGGGAAUAAAACAGGGUAUGCAUACCCUCUUGUAUGUACCAUAUGAAUAAGGAUCGGCUAACUCCGUGCCAGCAGCCGCGGUAAUACGGAGGAUGCGAGCGUUAUCCGGAUUUAUUGGGUUUAAAGGGUGCGCAGGGGGUCUGUUAAGUCAGCGGUAAAAGCCCGGGGCUCAACCCCGGCCCGCCGUUGAAACUGGCAGUCUCGAGUUGGAGAGAAGUAUGCGGAAUGCGCGGUGUAGCGGUGAAAUGCAUAGAUAUCGCGCAGAACUCCGAUUGCGAAGGCAGCAUGCCGGCUCCACACUGACGCUGAGGCACGAAAGCGUGGGUAUCGAACAGGAUUAGAUACCCUGGUAGUC